rnacentral:rRNA from 1 species
AAAUUGAAGAGUUUGAUCAUGGCUCAGAUUGAACGCUGGCGGCAGGCCUAACACAUGCAAGUCGAACGGUAACAGGAAGCAGCUUGCUGCUUCGCUGACGAGUGGCGGACGGGUGAGUAAUGUCUGGGAAACUGCCUGAUGGAGGGGGAUAACUACUGGAAACGGUGGCUAAUACCGCAUAACGUCGCAAGACCAAAGAGGGGGACCUUCGGGCCUCUUGCCAUCAGAUGUGCCCAGAUGGGAUUAGCUUGUUGGUAAGGUAACGGCUCACCAAGGCGACGAUCCCUAGCUGGUCUGAGAGGAUGACCAGCCACACUGGAACUGAGACACGGUCCAGACUCCUACGGGAGGCAGCAGUGGGGAAUAUUGCACAAUGGGCGCAAGCCUGAUGCAGCCAUGCCGCGUGUAUGAAGAAGGCCUUCGGGUUGUAAAGUACUUUCAGCGGGGAGGAAGGUGUUGUGGUUAAUAACCGCAGCAAUUGACGUUACCCGCAGAAGAAGCACCGGCUAACUCCGUGCCAGCAGCCGCGGUAAUACGGAGGGUGCAAGCGUUAAUCGGAAUUACUGGGCGUAAAGCGCACGCAGGCGGUCUGUCAAGUCGGAUGUGAAAUCCCCGGGCUCAACCUGGGAACUGCAUUCGAAACUGGCAGGCUUGAGUCUUGUAGAGGGGGGUAGAAUUCCAGGUGUAGCGGUGAAAUGCGUAGAGAUCUGGAGGAAUACCGGUGGCGAAGGCGGCCCCCUGGACAAAGACUGACGCUCAGGUGCGAAAGCGUGGGGAGCAAACAGGAUUAGAUACCCUGGUAGUCCACGCCGUAAACGAUGUCUACUUGGAGGUUGUGCCCUUGAGGCGUGGCUUCCGGAGCUAACGCGUUAAGUAGACCGCCUGGGGAGUACGGCCGCAAGGUUAAAACUCAAAUGAAUUGACGGGGGCCCGCACAAGCGGUGGAGCAUGUGGUUUAAUUCGAUGCAACGCGAAGAACCUUACCUGGUCUUGACAUCCACAGAACUUUCCAGAGAUGGAUUGGUGCCUUCGGGAACUGUGAGACAGGUGCUGCAUGGCUGUCGUCAGCUCGUGUUGUGAAAUGUUGGGUUAAGUCCCGCAACGAGCGCAACCCUUAUCCUUUGUUGCCAGCGGUUAGGCCGGGAACUCAAAGGAGACUGCCAGUGAUAAACUGGAGGAAGGUGGGGAUGACGUCAAGUCAUCAUGGCCCUUACGACCAGGGCUACACACGUGCUACAAUGGCGCAUACAAAGAGAAGCGACCUCGCGAGAGCAAGCGGACCUCAUAAAGUGCGUCGUAGUCCGGAUUGGAGUCUGCAACUCGACUCCAUGAAGUCGGAAUCGCUAGUAAUCGUGGAUCAGAAUGCCACGGUGAAUACGUUCCCGGGCCUUGUACACACCGCCCGUCACACCAUGGGAGUGGGUUGCAAAAGAAGUAGGUAGCUUAACCUUCGGGAGGGCGCUUACCACUUUGUGAUUCAUGACUGGGGUGAAGUCGUAACAAGGUAACCGUAGGGGAACCUGCGGUUGGAUCACCUCCUUACCUUAAAGAA